rnacentral:rRNA from 1 species
AUGAACGCUAGCUACAGGCUUAACACAUGCAAGUCGAGGGGCAGCAGGAUCUAGCAAUAGAUUGCUGGCGACCGGCGCACGGGUGAGUAACACGUAUCCAACCUGCCGAUAACUCGGGGAUAGCCUUUCGAAAGAAAGAUUAAUACCCGAUAGUAUAAUCAGACCGCAUGGUUUGAUUAUUAAAGAAUUUCGGUUAUCGAUGGGGAUGCGUUCCAUUAGGCAGUUGGUGAGGUAACGGCUCACCAAACCUUCGAUGGAUAGGGGUUCUGAGAGGAAGGUCCCCCACAUUGGAACUGAGACACGGUCCAAACUCCUACGGGAGGCAGCAGUGAGGAAUAUUGGUCAAUGGACGCGAGUCUGAACCAGCCAAGUAGCGUGAAGGAUGACUGCCCUAUGGGUUGUAAACUUCUUUUAUAUGGGAAUAAAGUUUUCCACGUGUGGAAUUUUGUAUGUACCAUAUGAAUAAGGAUCGGCUAACUCCGUGCCAGCAGCCGCGGUAAUACGGAGGAUCCGAGCGUUAUCCGGAUUUAUUGGGUUUAAAGGGAGCGUAGGUGGACAGUUAAGUCAGUUGUGAAAGUUUGCGGCUCAACCGUAAAAUUGCAGUUGAUACUGGCUGUCUUGAGUACAGUAGAGGUGGGCGGAAUUCGUGGUGUAGCGGUGAAAUGCUUAGAUAUCACGAAGAACUCCGAUUGCGAAGGCAGCUCACUGGACUGCAACUGACACUGAUGCUCGAAAGUGUGGGUAUCAAACAGGAUUAGAUACCCUGGUAGUCCACACAGUAAACGAUGAAUACUCGCUGUUUGCGAUAUACAGUAAGCGGCCAAGCGAAAGCAUUAAGUAUUCCACCUGGGGAGUACGCCGGCAACGGUGAAACUCAAAGGAAUUGACGGGGGCCCGCACAAGCGGAGGAACAUGUGGUUUAAUUCGAUGAUACGCGAGGAACCUUACCCGGGCUUAAAUUGCAUUUGAAUAUAUUGGAAACAGUAUAGCCGUAAGGCAAAUGUGAAGGUGCUGCAUGGUUGUCGUCAGCUCGUGCCGUGAGGUGUCGGCUUAAGUGCCAUAACGAGCGCAACCCUUAUCUUUAGUUACUAACAGGUCAUGCUGAGGACUCUAGAGAGACUGCCGUCGUAAGAUGUGAGGAAGGUGGGGAUGACGUCAAAUCAGCACGGCCCUUACGUCCGGGGCUACACACGUGUUACAAUGGGGGGUACAGAAGGCAGCUACCUGGUGACAGGAUGCUAAUCCCAAAAGCCUCUCUCAGUUCGGAUCGAAGUCUGCAACCCGACUUCGUGAAGCUGGAUUCGCUAGUAAUCGCGCAUCAGCCAUGGCGCGGUGAAUACGUUCCCGGGCCUUGUACACACCGCCCGUCAAGCCAUGAAAGCCGGGGGUACCUGAAGUACGUAACCGCAAGGAGCGUCCUAGGGUAAAACUGGUAAUUGGGGCU